GACGAACUGUGCGAACGUUAUUCGGAAUCACUGGGCUUACAGGGUGCGUAGGCGGCUUGUUAAGUAGGGUGUGAAAUCCCCCGGCCCAACCGGGGAAUGGCGCUCUAAACUAGCAGGCUUGAGUGAGCUAGGGGUGCACGGAACUUCCAGUGGAGCGGUGAAAUGUGUUGAUACUGGAAGGAACACCGGAGGCGAAAGCGGUGCACUGGGGCUUAACUGACGCUGAGGCACGAAAGCCAGGGGAGCGAACGGG
rnacentral:rRNA from 1 species